rnacentral:rRNA from 1 species
UACGAAGGGGGCUAGCGUUGUUCGGAAUUACUGGGCGUAAAGCGCACGUAGGCGGAUCAUUUAGUCAGGGGUGAAAUCCCGGGGCUCAACCUCGGAACUGCCUUUGAUACUGAUGGUCUCGAGUCCGGAAGAGGUGAGUGGAAUUCCUAGUGUAGAGGUGAAAUUCGUAGAUAUUCGCAAGAACACCUGUGGCGAAGGCGGCUCACUGGCCCGAUACUGACGCUGAGGUGCGAAAGCGUGGGGAGCAAACAGG